rnacentral:rRNA from 1 species
GACGAACGCUGGCGGCGUGCCUAAUACAUGCAAGUCGAACGAACUCUGGUAUUGAUUGGUGCUUGCACCAUGAUUUACAUUUGAGUGAGUGGCGAACUGGUGAGUAACACGUGGGAAACCUGCCCAGAAGCGGGGGAUAACACCUGGAAACAGAUGCUAAUACCGCAUAACAACUUGGACCGCAUGGUCCGAGUUUGAAAGAUGGCUUCGGCUACCACUUUUGGAUGGUCCCGCGGCGUAUUAGCUAGAUGGUGGGGUAACGGCUCACCAUGGCAAUGAUACGUAGCCGACCUGAGAGGGUAAUCGGCCACAUUGGGACUGAGACACGGCCCAAACUCCUACGGGAGGCAGCAGUAGGGAAUCUUCCACAAUGGACGAAAGUCUGAUGGAGCAACGCCGCGUGAGUGAAGAAGGGUUUCGGCUCGUAAAACUCUGUUGUUAAAGAAGAACAUAUCUGAGAGUAACUGUUCAGGUAUUGACGGUAUUUAACCAGAAAGCCACGGCUAACUACGUGCCAGCAGCCGCGGUAAUACGUAGGUGGCAAGCGUUGUCCGGAUUUAUUGGGCGUAAAGCGAGCGCAGGCGGUUUUUUAAGUCUGAUGUGAAAGCCUUCGGCUCAACCGAAGAAGUGCAUCGGAAACUGGGAAACUUGAGUGCAGAAGAGGACAGUGGAACUCCAUGUGUAGCGGUGAAAUGCGUAGAUAUAUGGAAGAACACCAGUGGCGAAGGCGGCUGUCUGGUCUGUAACUGACGCUGAGGCUCGAAAGUAUGGGUAGCAAACAGGAUUAGAUACCCUGGUAGUCCAUACCGUAAACGAUGAAUGCUAAGUGUUGGAGGGUUUCCGCCCUUCAGUGCUGCAGCUAACGCAUUAAGCAUUCCGCCUGGGGAGUACGGCCGCAAGGCUGAAACUCAAAGGAAUUGACGGGGGCCCGCACAAGCGGUGGAACAUGUGGUUUAAUUCGAAGCUACGCGAAGAACCUUACCAGGUCUUGACAUACUAUGCAAAUCUAAGAGAUUAGACGUUCCCUUCGGGGACAUGGAUACAGGUGGUGCAUGGUUGUCGUCAGCUCGUGUCGUGAGAUGUUGGGUUAAGUCCCGCAACGAGCGCAACCCUUAUUAUCAGUUGCCAGCAUUAAGUUGGGCACUCUGGUGAGACUGCCGGUGACAAACCGGAGGAAGGUGGGGAUGACGUCAAAUCACCAUGCCCCUUAUGACCUGGGCUACACACGUGCUACAAUGGAUGGUACAACGAGUUGCGAACUCGCGAGAGUAAGCUAAUCUCUUAAAGCCAUUCUCAGUUCGGAUUGUAGGCUGCAACUCGCCUACAUGAAGUCGGAAUCGCUAGUAAUCGCGGAUCAGCAUGCCGCGGUGAAUACGUUCCCGGGCCUUGUACACACCGCCCGUCACACCAUGAGAGUUUGUAACACCCAAAGUCGGUGGGGUAACCUUUUAGGAACCAGCCGCCUAAGGUGGGACAGAUGAUUAGGGUG